rnacentral:rRNA from 1 species
ACAGUCAAAUCACGCUGAAACACCGGUUCUCGUACGAUCACCGAAGUUAAGCAUCGUAGAGCCAGGUCAGUACUUAGAUGGGGGACCGCUUGGGAACACCUGGUACUGUAAG